CGUAGCAAAAUGCGAUACUUGGUGUGAAUUGCAGAAUCCCGUGAACCAUCGAGUUUUUGAACGCAAGUUGCGCCCGAAGCCAUCCGGUUGAGGGCACGCCUGCCUGGGCGUCACGCAUCGCGUCGCCCCCCAUCAUAGUUCCCAUGAGGGUAGUCAUGGUGAUU
rnacentral:rRNA from 1 species